rnacentral:rRNA from 1 species
UGCCAGACUCCUACGGGAGGCAGCAGUAGGGAAUUUUGCGCAAUGGGCGAAAGCCUGACGCAGCAACGCCGCGUGAUCGAGACGCCCUUCGGGGUGUAAAGAUCUGUCAGUGGGGACGAAACUUGACGGUACCCACAGAGGAAGCACCGGCUAACUACGUGCCAGCAGCCGCGGUAAUACGUAGGGUGCGAGCGUUAAUCGGAAUUACUGGGCGUAAAGGGUGUGCAGGCGGCUGAGUAAGACAGAUGUGAAAUCCCCGGGCUUAACCUGGGAACCGCAUAUGUGACUGCUUGGCUAGAGUGCGUCAGAGGGAGGUGGAAUUCCACGUGUAGCAGUGAAAUGCGUAGAUAUGUGGAAGAACACCGAUGGCGAAGGCAGCCUCCUGGGACGCAACUGACGCUCAUACACGAAAGCGUGGGGAGCAAGCAGGAUUAGAUACCCUCGUAA